ensembl:ncRNA lncRNA:CR43485 long non-coding RNA:CR43485
CAAAACUGUGAGCUGCUGGGCUACGCAACGCCCACGCCAUAAUGCCACCAAUCUGGGGAAUCGAGAGAGUCUAUAAGUUAGGCAUUUGGCAUUGACAUUCCUGAAUGGCGAAGAGGCGCCGCCCGAGGAAUUCUCAUUCGUCUCGGUGACAAGCAGGCAUUUUAAUUGUGAGAACUCUGCGGCAAAUGGAUUGGGCUUGCAUGCCGCUUAGGCAAAUGUUGAAUAUUGCACAUAAACAAAUAUUUCGAGAUGGCAGAUAUGAAACAGUUACACUCGAAGAAAUGCCGUCCCGACUAUCUGACAAUCUGGCUGCGUUUGGCGCCAAAGAAUCUCGCCACCCCACGGGCCCAAAUCGAUGCCAACUUCGACUGGGACUUGCGACUCGGACUGCGAAUGCUAAUCAAGAUGCCGCUGUCGGCUGGCCAGCGUUUGAGCACUCAGAAAAAUAACGAAAAAUUAAAGAACUAUUAGUAAUU